GCAUAUAUGGCUGAGUGGUCGAAAGCAUUGGACUCAUAAUCCAUCUUCUGAAUAAAGAACAACGUAGGUUCAAACCCUACUAUAUGCA
rnacentral:tRNA from 1 species